UACGUAGGGUGCGAGCGUUGUCCGGAAUUAUUGGGCGUAAAGGGCUCGUAGGCGGUCUGUUGCGUCGGGAGUGAAAACUCAGGGCUUAACCCUGAGCCUGCUUCCGAUACGGGCAGACUAGAGGUAUGCAGGGGAGAACGGAAUUCCUGGUGUAGCGGUGAAAUGCGCAGAUAUCAGGAGGAACACCGGUGGCGAAGGCGGUUCUCUGGGUCGUAACUGACGCUGAGGAGCGAAAAGCAUGGGGAGCGAACAGG
rnacentral:rRNA from 1 species